rnacentral:lncRNA from 1 species
GCAACCAACGGCUGAGAUUCAACGGACACCUUCUUGAUGGAGAGAGAUUGGUCCAACUCCCCAUUAUCCGGUUCGUCCGGUUCAGCAUUUUUCUUUUCCUUCCCGGACAAGCUAGCCGAGCUCUGUACAUCGCUGCUCUCUCUAUUAGGUUCUUCUCCCUUAGACUCGGCCACUGACUCCGGCGAAUCACCGGUUUCUCUCGGGUCAACUCGCUCUGAGUUUUCAGCUGAUCCCUUCGCCACACUAUCACAGCUCCCGUUGCACGAAGCUUCUCCCCCAGGCUUCACGCUCUGCACCUCUUUCCCCGUUUCACCUCCAUCCGGUUCGACAGGUUCCGGUUCAACUUUCGCUUCGUCUGGUCCAGUUCCCGGGGAUUCCUCUUUCGGAUCUGUAGAGUUCGACUCGUUUACCGAAUGGUUCUCCCGCUCGGACUCUUCCCUGCUAUUAACGGGCCGUCGGGUAAUGUUCUCCGUUUCGUUUUCUUCCUUUUUUUCACUUCCCUUUUCUGGCUCCAGAUCCGAUUUUUCAGUUUCCUUUCCGUUCUCUGUCAAGCUCUGUUCUCUUUCUUCUUUUAAUUUCUGCACCUUCAUUUGUAAGGACCUGUAAAGUAACAGAAAAAUGUUACCGAUUUUUGCCCCCCACCCUAAAAGAAGUAAUUUAAUAUUUUUAUAAAAAAUGAUUUAGUAAUAAUUUACACGAUGGAGAGAUCAUAUUGUUGAACUUCGCGGCGUAGUUCGGCGACGCGGAGUCUCCGGAGCUCAUCAAGCCAAGGAACGGUGCUGGUGGAGAUGUUGUUAUUAGUAGUUUCGCCGUCGUCGCCGUUUUCAGCGAAACGGCGUUUAAGGUCUUGAAACUUCUGUUGACAAGAAAGGGGAGUAAAGAAGAGGUGUUGGAACGUAGAAGUUCGCUUCUGUAGUUCCAUAGCAACGGAGUCCCAACUGUUGUUACCGUAACGAUGAACGGCGCAGGCGAGUAAAAGCUCCUCCCAGGUACCCCAUGUUUGUUUCUCGGGAAAGCUGUGGUGUUUAGCCAUGAAAUAAAUGAAAAGAAGAGAAGGAAAAGAUAUUAAUAGUACCGGUCACGGUUCAAUAAUAAGUCUCUUUUUGCGAAUAAGUAAGUACCUUUUUAUUCAAAUAAAAUUUUCUAUUUAUGAUUCGUUUGUACUCUAGAAUUUUUAAGGGAAUAGCUAGGCUGCUUCAAUUUCAUUUCCAUUGUAGGUUAAAAUCAUCUUCAAAUAUCUUCCUCGUAUAUUAUUUUCGGAUUUUAUUUUUUAAAAUUUUAUAAUUUAAAUCUUAUUAUUAACCUCAUCAAAAAAAAACCUAUUGGAAUAAUGUUAAUUAGAAAUAAAUCUAAAUGAAUGGAGUUGGAGCAUAUUUGUUAUUAUUUAUUAUUUUGAAGUAGGAGGGGUGUCAUGAAUUUAGAAUGGGAAAGGGAGCCCUAGGAUGCCGAACCAGAAGGAACAGGCCUAAGGUUAUUGGGCUGAUUGAUUGAUGGAGGGUGAGGCGGACCAAGUUAGCAACAUUUAGUAGCGGGCUGAUUCCUACAGCAAGCCCAAGGGACUGAUUUAAUGACUGGAUUGCUGAUGACUCAUUUUCCUCUCAUGCUAGCUGUUAAAAAAGUGAAGUUUGUUACAACAGAAUUUCUAUUAUAUUCUCAAGGCAUGGAAUGAAAUCAGUAGUUUCCCUUUCUCUCAAUCUCCUUCUACUUCUUUCUUUUUCUUUUCUUAAAAUUUAUUAUUUAUAUUUAUAAUUGAAUAACUUUUAUAUUUUUUAUUAAAUUUCUUAACUUAAUACUCAUAUUAUAAAUUAUUUAUUUCAAAACUCUAAAAUAUUAUAUUAAGCCUAAAGCAACUAAUACACAAAAUAGACUAUAUAGUCUAAAAUAAAAAUAAGUUAAACUCAAUACUAAAGACAAGUUAUAAAAGUUAAAAUCCAAUUCAAAAUUUAAUUUAAUAAAAAUAAUAUUUUAUUAAUCUAUUAAUUUUUUUAAUAGUAUUUUAUGUACUUUAUUAUAAUCUUAAUAUAAUAAUAUUUUUUUAACAAUCUUUUUUAUAGGUUUUGGUCAUAUCUGCUCUUCUUGAUACAAUGCCUAGAACUACUUAUAGUCCUCCCCAACUCAUAAAUAAGAAGAUAAUACACUUCAACACACUCGAACCCAUGUCUCUUACAUUCGCAACCCAAAUAGAACUUACAUGCAAACGACCCAACUUUUAAAGCAUUCAAACAUGGCUUCCAAACUUUUCUUUUCAAUGUUUCGGUGAAAAGAUGAAAGUGACGAAGAAUAUCACUUUGUUUUUGUUGUAUUAUUCUUUAAUAAUUUACAUUAAUUAAAUUAUAACAUAUAUUAUAAUAUAAACAAAUGACUAACAAGCCAUUAACAUAAUUAUGGCUAAAUUUCCAUAUAAAACCAUCCAAUUAUACUUUUAUACUUAAUUAGCACUUAUAAACUAAUAAUAUUUGACUUUUGUAGUUUUUACGAUUUAAUCUUUUUUCCUUAAUUAACAAUUAAUUCAUCAAAAAAUUUGGACCAAACUUCAAUUCACCUAUAUAACAUCUCUAUAAGUAUUUAAUAAAAAUAUUCAUAGGAUCAAUUUACAGAAACGAGGUCUCGAUCCUCAUUUUCAAAAACCAUUCAACUUUUGGUAUGCACCACUUAUAUCUUGAUUAACUGAUCAAUUAUUAAAAUGUAUUAAAUCAAGAUUCACUGUUGUACUAUAUUUAACUCAUAAAUAUUAAUUAAAUAUAUCUACAAUCUCUCUCAUCAAAAUUAUUGUUUUCGAUACCACUGAAAAACGGACUAUUACAAUCCUCCUAUUUAUGAGUCGGGGAAGGGCUAUAGGCAGUUCUAGGUAUUAUGUAAAAAAAAAAAGAGCGGAUGUGAUCAAAUCUUAUAAUGAUAUUGUUCAAAAAAAUAUUAAAUAUUAUUGUUUAUUAUUAUCUUGGUUGAUUUAUACUUUAAGUCUCUAUACUCUUCGUACAUUUGAAAAUUAGCGCUUCUACUAUAUUAUAUACUGCUAUCUUAUAUCAUAGAAUAUAUAAUACAUUAAAAGUUUAUAUAUACGCAUUAAUGAAUAAACAUUUUUUACCAAAAAAAGAAAUAAACAUUAUAAUAUUAUGUAAUACUAUCUUUUAUUAUAAUUUAUAACAUAAUAAUAGUUAUAUAUGUGUAUUGAUAGUUUUAGUCAUAGUUAUACACUAUAUUAUUAUAUUAUGUAGUAGUAUAUCAUUUAUUAUAGUUAGCGGUUAAAACCAACCUAACUGACAAAAUUGAGUCAAUUCAAGCGAAUCAGUUUGUAAAUUCAGUUUUCAUUUUGGACCAAUUAACAGUUAUAUAUGUAUUAAUAAUUUUAAAAUAUAUUAUUAUAUUAUGUAAUACUAUAUCCCAUAUUGUAAUAGUAAUACAUAAUAUACUAAUUAUUAAAUCCUAUUUAUUAUAUUGGUAGAAAUAUGUUCUAAGUAUUUAUAUUUUUCAUACAUUUGAAAGUUAACCUUCCUAAUAUACAAUACUAUUGCAUAGCAUAUAAUAUAUAAUAUAUUAAUAGUUUAUAUAUAUGCAUUAAUGAUUAAAACAUUAUAAUAUUAUGGGUAACUGAGCCAUAAACUAUAUCUUGGAUUGCAUUUUAGCCCCUCUACUAAAAAUUUGGACAAAUUAGCCCUAGUACAUAGGGGUGUGCAAAUUUCGAGUAAAAUCAAAUUAAUUCGGGUAACAGACCAAAUUCAGUUAAUCGGUCGGUUAAUCAAAUUAAUUCAGUCGGGGGUCGGUUAAUAAUUUUUUAGAAGUUCAGUUAACGGUUAAUUAGGUUCGAAAUCGGUUAAUUAAUCGAAUUAACCGAAAAUUUAUAUUUUUAUAUAUAUUUUACAUAUAUUAAAUUCGGCUAAUUUGGUUAAUUCGGCUAUUUUUUAUAUGUUUUAUACUUGUUUUAACCAAAAAACAAAAAACAUAUAAAUUUCGGUUAAUUCGGUUAACCGACCGAAUUAACCAAAAAAUUUUGGGUUGGUUAACCGAUUAAACACCCCUACUAGUACAUUAGAUGAGUAAAAGCAAAACAUCCCAUUUGUUAAAAUUUAGUGUUUAUAUAUAAGGUAUAAUAACAAGUUUAGCCCUUAAUCUUUACACAUUUAUUCAAUUUGACCCCUAAUAUUUUAUUGGAAGUAAAUUAGAAUUUUUUAAAACUAAUAAAGCUAAAAGGUCAAAGAACCCUUAUUAACAAAUUCAAAAAAAAUCAAUUAAGCCUUUUAAAUUUUAAUAAUUAUUUAAAAAAUCAUAAAAAUAACUGUAAACAAAAUUUAUAGAAAAGGUUAUAAAAUUUUUUUAUUAAAAAUAACAAUACCGGCCCAUUAAAAUUUAAUGGUUAUAAGAAUUAAAAAAAAAAAUUGACCCCUACUCUUAUUUGGUUGGUAUUGCUAUUUUUUAAUAAAAUAUUAUAAUUUUUAAGAGAAGGGUAAGAAUUUGAGUAAUUAUAUAAGUAAUUACACUCGAUUUUUUUAUACAUGUUUAAGUUAUAAAUUUUUAUAUUAUAAGCAUGAACAUAGAUGAGUGUUUGGGAUGAUUAUGGUAAAAAAUUAUAUUAUAAAAAUAAUUUAUGUGUAUUUUAUAAAGUUAUAACCAAAAAUUAUAUUAUGUUAAGUCCUAAUCUUUUUUAAGUUGUGGCCAAAAAAAUUAUUAUAAAAAAUAAUUUAAGUUAUAAUAUAUUUAUUUAUAUAAAAUUAUGGCCAAGAAGUAUGGACAUAACUUAUUUAUGUGUUCAUGCUAUAUAUUAUAAAAAUAGUAUGCUUAUAAGAAAAAAAAAGUGUUUAUUUUUUAACACGAUUUAGUCAUAAAAAAUAAUUUUCUAAAGUUAUGAUAAAAAAAACUAUAUGAUUUAUAAGAAGUGUUAUGAAAGUUAUUAGACAUUUUAUAAAACAUUUUUUUAAAAGGUUAUAUAUUAUAAUUUUAUAUUAUUUUUUACUUAAUUUACAUAUUAUUAAAAGGAUUAUAACUUAGCAUAAUUCUUUCUCUAAAUUAAGUUUAUAUAAGUUUUUAUCGAAACAAAAGGGCUGGAAGAAACAUACUACCAAUCAAAUCUAUUUUGAUAGUUUAUCCUGGGUGAGGUAAACUUGUGAACUAGUUUUAACAAAUGGCAAACAUAGAAAAAUUAUGUUAAAAGAAAUGGAGAAUGAAGGAAAACAAAGCGAGAAGCAUAAUAGAACGAAAAAUAAAGGGAAAAAAAGGGAAGUAAAAAGAACAUAAAAGAAAUAAAAUUAAAUUGCUUAAAACGAAAAAAUAUGAAAUCGAUUGUAUAAAUUAACCUAAAAUUUUUGUUUGAAAUGAUAAUUUAACGUACCACGUCAACUUACUGUUACACGGAAAUUAACGGCUCAGUGACUAAAAUAUUACAAUGCGAUAAUGUAAGUGACUAAAACGUAACAUUUCAAAUAUAAGUGACUAAAAUGUAAACUGAGGUAAACAGAAGUGACUACUUUAGUAGUUUACCUUAUUUUAAUUAAGUUUGCCAGUGGUUUUGUUUCAUGGCUUCUUACAACAAAUAGUUUUCUCCUAACAAAAAAAGAACAUAGUUUUCUCGGUACAUUUUAUUGAGAACAGUAUUGAUCUCCUAACUAUUACAGAUUUCUCCUGACAGUAUCAGAUGAGAUGGCGAGGACCCAGGCAUCUCUUACCGAAGGGGCCUUGGUUUCCAUGCAGCUAAGAAAUCCUUUAGUCGUGGUGAUCCUGCUCCAAUACUAGGAAGAGGCCGAGGUUCAAUGAAGGGCCAGUCAAGAAAAGAACUUUUGCCUUCACAGAAUGGAACCGAAAAGAAACUUCCGAAUGAGAUUGAAUUACUUUACACAAAGAUGCUAGUAAAUGAGAUAUUUAUGGAGAGCCAGCUAAACUGAAACUGCCAAAAUGAGAUAAUUUACUCUAUAAGAUGUUAGCUAAUUUUAUUUUGCUCGCUUCAACAGGUGAAAAGGGCUUUUGAUACAAGUCAUCCCGAUCUUGUUGAGCUUGAGAAAGCAAAGAAGAAGCUGAAAGUAAGAAUAUGAUUCACAUAGCCUGAAUACAUUCUUUUUAUUGCUUAGUUGUUAUGACCACAGGCUUGAGGUCGAGUUAUGGGGUGAUUUAACAGAAAAAUAAGAUCCGACAGAAGGGUCUUUGCCCGUAUUUCGAUUCCUGGUUUUGCCUAUGGUGAUGGAACUCUAAGGGAGUAGCCUACCCUAGAACUCUAUGAAAGUUGCCUACCUUAAUUUACUGCAAAUUGAACUUGUUUUAUUACUUAGUAAAUUUCCCCUUAAAUAGAGGUUCACAAUAAGAGCAACCCUAAUAUCCUAUCAUACUAGGAAAGUUUUAUUUAAGCUAAAAUGAAAGUUUAGGAAAUAAAAUGAAAUCAGAAUCCCAAACCUCCUUCCUAGUUAUCUCUUUUAUUCUAAUGAUUCUUUCCUUUUGUAACAUUAGUACUGCAAGUUUAACCAUUAUAUCUAAUGCAGGACAGGAACAAGCGCUCAUCAAUGCUAUUGUAAGGCUUGCUGAUGCAUCUGAUGGUGAAAGUGGUAAUCAAUAUGUGUAUACAUAGUGAUCUUUUAUGUGAUCUUUUCUGUAAAAUACACAUAGUCCAUCGAUGAAUCUUAUUAUUGCAUUUUGUUUUCUUUUGUUCUUUUCCUCCAUUUGAUUUGGGAGGAAAAGCUAGCUGCAAGUUCUUGUUCAACAUGUAUUUAUUUAGUAUUUUGCUAUUAAUCAUGUAAGUGUUUCAGGCUAUCGACCAAAUCAUCACAUUCACAAAUGCCGAAUUAUCAUUCUUAACAUAUCGACAUUCAUUCAUACUUUAUUACAAGUAUAUGCACCUAUUCAUCUACUUGGCAAGCAAGAAAUAACUCAUUUAUAAGCAUAAAAUUGUCAAAUGGGCAAGCAACCCAUUAAUUCACUAAACUACUACAUAUACAUACCUCCAACAUAUAUGGUAUCAUAUUCAAAAUGUAAAAUUUCUUAAGACCAAAACUUCAAAACCAACCCUAAGAUCAACUCAAGAGAUUAGAUAUCUAUCAUUUGUUAUAAACACAACAGAAACUAUACAAGCUUGCUGAAUCGAGAGUUGAAUUUUGAAUAUUGCCGAUCACCUUAAGACUUCAAGAUCUAUAUUAUUUGCACACGAAAAUAAACAAAUUGUACGCUGAGUAAUAGGGCUCAGUGAUACAAACAUGAUUUAAAUCAAUAAUAAAAUAGAAACAAGGUACCAAAAACACAUAAUAUGAUACACAAAUACUAUCUAAAUCAUAGUUGUAUUACUAGUCUCAUAAACUAAACAUCACAAUUUGUGCUACUCAACACGUGAUAUAUCAACAUUUAGUCCUUAUACCAUACAUUUCAAUUACAUGAAUAAUAUAGCAUAACACAAGGGUCAUUGUACUUUUUCAUUUCAUUCUCAAAUCUAUUGAUUUGUUAUAUAACUGAACCGGCUCUCAGGCUCUUGAUAACUAGAUCAUAUGACAUUUCACAUUCCAUUAUUUAUUGUUUAAACAUCAAGAUACAAUUAUACAAUUCAAUAUCCAAUAUCAAUAGCAAAAUAUAUAUUUUCAUAAUCCUUGAUAAUCAGACACAGACUCAAGAUGGAAACACGAAUCAUCUAACCAUCACACUAAUAUAUCCGGCACCCAGUGCCUCAUCGAUACAUCUAAAGUAUAAUAUGCAUGUUGAAAAAAUCCGGUUUGAAAACAGUUUUUUCGCACAACGAAAAAAUAAAAAUUUUGAAAAUCGAGUUGGUUUGUAAUAUUUAUAGCAAUAAACUUUUUCUUGAAAUAAUACCCAUGCUUUGAGCGAGACGGAUAUUAAAUGUUCCUGAUUUUCAACCGAACAGUCUUCCCCACUAUUCUCAUAUCACGAAUUGCUUCGAGUGUGGGCUCGAAUAGUUACGAAUCAAACACAGAAUCAUAAUUUUUUUUUUACUUUCAAUAUGAAAGUAAAUCUUUUUCUCUUAUACAAACCGAUAGAAUUGUUAUUCCCAAAAAAUAAAAUUUAUAUUUUAUAAAUAAAUUCUCACUAAUUUUGAAUAGAAUAACAAUAUCUCGGGCUUAUUACUAAAAAAAGCCCUUUUUUUAAUUUACCGAAAUAGGCCACUUUUUUAAUUAUUUACCGGAAUGGGCCAUUUUCCGCGAAAUCGCGUCCACGUCAGCGCGAUUUGCUGACGUGGAAGGAAAUCGCGCCCUCUAGGACGCGAUUUGCUGACGUGGCAUGAACAGUGUGUUUUUAGCUUGGAAAACUUUGAAAGACCAUAACUUUUGGCUCGGUUGUCCGAUUGAGGCAAAUUUUUUUUGAUUUAAAAUAAAUUUUCGAGAUCUUCGUGCUGGAAAACUGCUUAGAGAUGAAUAGGGACUAAUUUGUAAAGUAUAAUUUGUUAGUUACGAGUAUAGGGACUAAAGUGUAAUUAUUUCAAAAUUAGCAUGAAAUUUUUGUAUUUAAGAAUAUUUGAAUGUUAUGGAAGGAUGAAAUUGAAUUUGAAUUGAAAAACGAAGCUUAGAUUUGAAAAUAUGACUAUUUAGGUUUUAGGGACUAAAUUGAAUAAAAUGGAAAAUUUUAAGGAACUUCUCAAAAGUGGAAUGAGCUGACUUAUACCUAUAACAGGAUGAUAUAAGACAAUUCUGUAAAAAAAGAUCCGGUGUUUACUUCAAAUAAAUGAGGAAAAUAACGAUUUGAAUGUUUCAAAAUUCAAUUUUAAACAGAAAAAAAUCAAAAUUUAGGGGAAAAAAGGAUCUUUUUCGAUGAAAACUUCGGCAAACAGCCUUAGGCGGUUUGCUAGCGCGUAGAUCUCGAAAAGUUAUUCGAAAUCAAAAAAAAUUCGUCUCAAUCGGACAACCGAGCCAAAAGUUAUGGCCUUUCAAAGUUUUCCAAGCUAAAAACACACUGUUCAUGCCACGUCAGCAAAUCGCGUCCUAGAGGGAGCGAUUUCCUUCCACGUCAGCAAAUCGCGCUGACGUGGACGCGAUUUCCUGCGCGUACCCUGACAUCGCGCUGACGUGGACGCGAUUUCGCGGAAAAUAGCCCAUUCCGGUAAAUAAUUAAAAAACCGGCCUAUUUCGGUAAAUUUUGAAAAAAACCGGCCUUUUUUGGUUAUUUGGCCUAAAAUUUAACAGUCGGUUAACGCAAUUAGUGAUAUUAUAUAUAUUCAAAAAUUUGGUAAGAGAAAACAUUUUUAUGUUAAUUUUUUAACUUCGUUCAAGAAUUAUUAAUGAUUUGAUGGUAAAGAAUUUGUUUGUAAAUUUUAUUAAACAUGGGUUCAAUCAUUUAGAUAUGUUAAUUUUAAUUUUAGUUAUUUUAUUUUGAAACUAUAUAAAAGUAUGAAAAGAUAAAAUGAUAUCAAAAUAAUAAUAGUAGUAAUUUAAUAAAAGGAUGUCAAUAUUAAUAUUAUAUUAAAAUGUUAAUAUUAUAUUAAAAUAAAAUUUUAAUUUUUUUGUAAAAUUAAUAUUUUAUUAAUGUGAAUAGCAUAGGUUUAAAUCAAACUAUAUACAAAUAUUUUUAUUGGAUUUUUUUAAAUUAAAAAAACUAAAAUGUCCUCAUAAAAUACAAUUUAUUUUAAUUACGAAUGGGUAUUUUUAUAAUUUCUCAAACUUACUAUCCGAUUAGUCCGUAAUAUCAACUCAAUCAAUGAUUUAAAUAAUAGUAUAGAUAACUAUCAUAAAAUUUAUAACAUAUACUCUUUUUUUACAUUAUUUCAUUUACUAUCGUAUAAUACAAUGGGUUUAUAUGAUAUAUGUAAAUAUAUAUACUAGAAUGUGUUUUGGGUGGGCUUAAAAUUUUAAAUUACGAUUAAAAUUAUAAUAUAUUUUUAUUAAAAUAAUUAAUAUAGAUUAAAUCUUAAACUUUAGUGAGAGGGGAACCUCUUAGCAUGAUGAUCAGAGUAUUCACAAUUCCAGGUGUGAUUUAGGUUCAAGUUGCGUCAAUCACCUUGUUGCUAAUGCUUUGGCCUCUUAUUAUAAUCCACUAAAAUAAAAACUUUAAUAAGAGGGAUUAAUACUACAAUUUUAUUAUUAUUUUAUAAGAAAAGAAAAAAACACAUGUGAUGACAUAAUCGCUUAAGACUUUUUUUAUUUAAAGAACUAUUGAAAUUAUAAAUAUCAAGGUACUAAAUUAUGUUAAAAUGAAGUAUAAAAAAUAAAUUUUAAAAAAAUAAGUGUAGGAAUCAAAAUUGAAAUAUGAUAUUUUUAUGUUAUUUAAAUAAAAUAAAGGGACCAUAAAUUAAAUUUAACCAUUUAUAUUUUUAACGGAAAAUGGUCCAUUCCGGUAAAUAAUUAGAAAAGUGGCCUAUUUCGGUAAAUUUAAAAAAAAAGAGCUUUUUUUAGUAAUAAGCCCCAAUAUCUCAAAAUUCUUUUGUUUUAUAUUGGAUUAAUGAGUACACAUCUCAUCCCAAAUUAUAAGGAUUAGUCUAAUAUUGAAAUUGAAAAGUGUUUAAUACCACAAAUUAUUAUUUAAUAUGUUUAGAUAUUAUUAAUAUCACAACUGUAUUAUUAUUUCUUUUUAUAAUAUCGUAUUUUGGUUAUAUAGACAAUAGGUGCCGAUUUUAUUAAAUUGACCAAAUAGGCUACUUUUUUUCAUGAUUUAAAAAACCAUGUCGAUUUUAAAGAGUGUGUGAAAAUACGUCCAACUAGACAAACUUUCUACACAUUUAGCAGAAAAGUUUGUCCAACUGAGUGAACUUUCUAUUGACAUGUUAGGAAAAGCACGCCCAAUUGGACGCAUUUUCUUUAAAAUUUUCAAAAAAUGCUUCUAGUUAGAUACGCUUUCUCUAACAUGACAAUUAAAAGCUCUCUCUCUCUCUAAAAGCGACCUAUUUUCCUAAAUCUUUAAAAAAAAACCUAUUUAACCAAUUAAAAAAAUUCGAGAUAUUUAACCUAUUUAGCCUCAUAUUUUGUAUUCUUUUCAAUGUCGUGGUUUUGCAUAACUUUUUCUAUAAUCAGAUGACAUUCUCCACCCUGCCGCAAAACAAAUAUAAACUCAUUGAAUAAAAUAUAAUUUAACCGCCUAUGAUGCUGAAAAAAUAUCUUACAACAAUACUAAAAAUGGAGUACUGAAACCGUCCUUCAUUUUCUUGAACGCUUCUUUGCCUGUCCACCACCUGAAUGGUUCUCAACAGCUUCCCUUCCCCGCUUACCAGGAGGAGCUGAUUGGGUGGCAGGCACUCUUUUAGGCGGUCUUCCUGUACUCCUCUUUGCCGGACUCGUUCUUUUUCCGCCAGAACGUGUCCGUGGAGUCGGAGUUCGAUCCUUCUGUUGAUCACCUUUGCUGCUAGUGCUGUUUUUCUUAUGCUCACCUGCAUCUCCUCCUCCUUUACCCUUAUCAGAACUAAUCACACCCUUCAGUGUCUCUGUCAAUGGCUCAUUACCGGAUAAAGAGCUCCUCAUUCUAUUCAAGAAAUUCGCUGCACUUGGCUUUUUUGAACUAGCAGUUUUGCUGUUGCUCUUCUCCUUCUCACCACCCUUGGAUUCCGAGUUAUCAUUUGAGGAUCCACCUUUGCUUGAAAUGGCAGCAUUGGCAUUGGUACCUGAAUUCUUGUUUGUGUUUGUGUUACUCCGAGCCUUUGCAUUUUUGCUUGCUUUUCUUAAACCCGAGGCCGAACUUUCUCUUGUUCUCUUCUUUGCUACAGGACUUCCCUCAAUGGAUUUAUCAUGCUGCUUCCAACCUAGAGCUGGUUUCUCGUUCAUCAACGAAGCUAGCAGCUGCCUUUUUUUCUCUUGCCCUGAAGAUGAUGUUGACGAUUUGGCAGCAAUCGAGCUGCGUUUGCGACAAGCAAUCAAUGGGACUGAUAGUUUAGGUUUCAUUGACAAGGAGAGUGACAGUUGAGGUUCUGGUUUCAAAGGCAUCUGGGAUUCAAGCACCCUACUUGGUGAUUGUUCUUUGGGCAAUACGCUUGAAUUGCGAAACUGGGCAUCGAUCUCCUUUGAGACAAGUUGUCGAAACUCAAUAGCUGCAGCGUAUUCUGAGGAUUCCUUGCCAAAGAAAAUGAUGGCAUUGGUUAAAAGCAACAGCAAGUCUCUAAAGAACUUGCUUUUACAUCCUGAAUACCAGCCUUCUUCAACCCUCAAGCCAAUAGUCUCUAAGUCAAGAUGUUGCCGGAUCAAGUUUGAGUAAUCCGGUGUUUUCUGCAAUAUUGAAAUUUAACCAUAAAUCACCAUCUUAGCACCUAAUUAUGUUCUUCAGUUGCCUAGCAUUAAAAUUAAUUUUAUAGAAAUUGCAACUAACGGGAGCACAUAGGCUAAAGACAGCAGUUUAAUUCCACAGCACACUCUAGCUUUUGUUUUUAUUUGAAGACCAUUAUGAGUAACAACUAAAGAUUUUGGUUCAUGCAACUACUUUGUAAAAAAGGACAUCCUUCAAACAUCCAACAAUUACCGGAUUUACAAAAAGAAAAUUUCUUAUUUAUAAUUGCCACCUAAAAAUCAAAACCAAAACCAAAACCAAAACAAAAGACAUGUAUCUAACUUAUACCUUUCCCCAAUCAACUAAAUAAAAAUUAAACCUAAGUGGCAUACAUAGGUUGGAGUAGGGCGAAGUCAGAAAUUUUUUCUAAGAGAAUCGGAAUAAAGUUAUAUAUUUUUAUGAGAGUUAAAAUAUAAUUUCACUAUUUUAUUAGCUUAUAUCUUUAUAUUUAUAAUUUUUCAAGAACUAAAUCAAAAUUUUAUUUUUUGGAGGGUUAAAAGUGCAAAUUUACUAUAUACAGACUUAUAGUUUUAUAAAUUUUAAAUAAUCAGAAGUGCAAUCUCCCAUUUUAGGGGUGGCGCCACCGCCCCUGAGCUGAAGACUGGGAAAUAAAAAGAAAGGCUUCUCCAAGUUUCUUACUGGGAUAAGAUAACCUAACCACCAUAUUUUUUUAGAACAAUUUACGUGCCCAAUGGAUUUUUUGUGGCUUCACACAACUCAUUACCCCUAAAAAAAAUAAUGCCAGGUUUACAGCAAGAGAAUGGACCAACUAACAACUCUUCAUCGGGUUAUCAAAUGGACCCUCAGUUCACUGCUUUCCUUCCUACUAACUCUAAAUAAUGCCACAUUAAUAUAUAUAAGCUUAUGAAUAUGGCCUCUGAAGUUAAGAAUUUUGGGUUCUUUCUACGAAAUAGACAACGUAACUUUUAUGUGACAAUUAACAAUAAUAAAAUUUAUAUAAUGAGAUUUAACAAGGUUCAAUAAUAUUAAUCACAACAACACCAAUGUCCGGGCCAACCUUCAACAUUCUUAUUUAUUGAGAAAUAUGCAAGGAUGGAACCAGCCAAUGACGCCUAGAUCAUAAAUAUAAUAUAUGUUUUUUAUUUUUUACCAAAUUUAAUAACACCGACAUCUUUCUACAGUAUAGUAAAAAAAAUAUAAAUAUUAAAAAUAAACCACAAUUCUCCAUUUUUUUAAAUAAAGAAAUGGAUAUUCUUUUAGAUUAAAAAGUAGUUUAAAAAUAAAUAAAUAAAUUGUAUUUAAAUUAAAAAUACAACUUAAUUUUUUUAUUAAUUUUCCAACACAUUUGACUCGUGACAUACGACUAAAAAGAACAAAAAAAUUUUCUAGACAAAAAAAUCCCUUAAUUCUCGGUAAUUAUAAAAGAACCCUAAUCCUACGCAUGGGCCCAAACCAACAUCUCUGCAGCUCAUGAUAUUAUUCACACGAGAAAGACAAAGAAUGAAAGGGAUUUUUUCGUCAAUUCAAACCACUAAAAAACUAGUACCACCCUGUUAAUCUACGCUUGCAUGCAUCUAUAACAUUCUUUUAAGGAAAAAAAAAAAAGAAGUCCUCAUUACAGGUAGCUCUAACCUAAACGCGCGAAAAAAAUUCAAUUAUUCCCCCACACGAUCAAUAGGUUAAAUUCUAAGUUCAAAAUUUAAAAUUUAAUUUUGUUUUUAAGAAUUUAGUUGCAAUAUUUUUCAUAUUUCAAAAUUACAAGCAAGUGAGUAGUUAGAGGCCCGAUCCCUUAAAAUAAAAUAUUUUCUCUUAGCUCCUUUAAAGUUUUUUAAAUUUUAAUUAGUAAAAAUAAAAUUAAAUUUUAGUCUCCUUAAAAUGAUAAAAAUUUAAUUUAAUCUUUUAAAAGUUAUAAAUAUAUAAACUAUUAAAAUAAUAAAAUUUAAUUUUUAUUAUCACAAAAAUUAUAAUUUAAUUGCAGCCAACUAAUUACAAUGUUAUUUAUUUAUUUUAUUUUAUUUUAUUUUAUUUGAAUAAUUGACUGGGGUAUUAUAAUAAAAAGGAAACACAAGAAAAACAGCCCAUAACAUUACUGGACUAGGCUGUAAACAAAAACAUAGGCUGCAAAUUAAACAGCCCAUAAAGCCAACCGACUGAAAUGUUCAGAAUUUAAAAACCUAAUUAAAUAACAAUAAUAAAAGUAGAAGAAACAUAGAAAAACCAACCGUCAUUUCCCCAAUCACAUUAAAUUUAACAAAAAAAAAUUAAUAAUAUUUUAACAAUUAUAUCUAACUUUUAAAAUCUAAAAAAUAGAGAUUAAAUUUUUAUAAAUAAAAAUCUAGCGACUAAAUUCAUAUUUGUGAAGAAUAUAAGAAGCUAUGGUAUAUUUUAACCUAAUUAAUAUUAAACUAAGCCACAUCUUAUGUAAAAAAAGUUAUAUAAAAACAAAUGAAGUUUUUUAUUAAAAUGGUUGCCUUAUAUAGGUUCUAUAUAAAAUUAUAAAAGAUAAAAAUUCCACUAAUAAUAUAUUAUUUUAAUUAAAAAGAUUGUUUAAUAUUUUUCUUUAAUAUCCAGCUAUUUCAAAUUAAUAAAAAAAUCAAUCCCCAAAAUCAGAUCAGCUACGAUCCAUAUAUCUUCAAAAUCACCAAACCUAACUCUGCCGACACGUCAUCGCCUGAUUGGACCAACAAUAUUUAUAGGAAGAUGCUCUAUAUCUAACCCGCGUAGAACCAAUCAAAAUCUUCUUGUUAUUUUUUUUCUCAUUAGAAAUAGUAAUUAAACAAUUUUUUUUAAAAAAAUAAACUAAUAUUUUAAAUAUAUAUAUAUAGAAUAUUUUGUUUUACCUGGAUUUCGAGUCGGCGCUCGAAAAGGGAGCCGAGCUUAUGAGACCGGAAGAUAUCGAGCAACGCAACCAACGGCUGAGAUUCAACGGACACCUUCUUGACGGAGAGAGAUUGGUCCAACUCCCCAUUAUCCGGUUCGUCCGGUUCAGCAUUUUUCUUUUCCUUCCCGGACAAGCUAGCCGAGCUCUGUACAUCGCUGCUCUCUCUAUUAGGUUCUUCUCCCUUGGACUCGGCCACUGACUCCGGUGAAUCACCGGUUUCUCUCGGGUCAACUAGCUUCGAGUUUUCAGCUGAUCCCUUCGCCACACUAUCACAGCUCCCGUUGCACGAAGCUUCUCCCUCAGGCUUCACGCUCUGCACCUCUUUCCCCGUUUCACCUCCAUCCGGUUCGACAGGUUCCGGUUCAUCUUUUGCCUCGUCAG